rnacentral:rRNA from 1 species
CGGAGUUAGCCGGUGCUUAUUCAUAUAAUACCGUCAUUAUCUUCUUAUAUAAAAGGAGUUUACGCACCGAAAUGUGUCAUCCUCCACGCGGCGUUGCUGCAUCAGGCUUUCGCCCAUUGUGCAAUAUUCCCCA